UACAGAGGUCCCGAGCGUUGUUCGGAUUCACUGGGCGUAAAGGGUGCGUAGGUGGCGAUGAAAGUUCGAUGUGAAAUCUCCGGGCUUAACCCGGAAAAGGCAUUGAAAACUAUGUUGCUUGAGGUUUGGAGGGGGGACUGGAAUUCUUGGUGUAGCAGUGAAAUGCGUAGAUAUCAAGAGGAACACCAGUGGCGAAGGCGGGUCCCUGGACAACACCUGACACUGAGGCACGAAAGCUAGGGGAGCAAGCAGG
rnacentral:rRNA from 1 species